rnacentral:rRNA from 1 species
AUUGAACGCUGGCGGCAUGCUUUACACAUGCAAGUCGAACGGCAGCAUGGGGGCAACCCUGGUGGCGAGUGGCGAACGGGUGAGUAAUGCAUCGGAACGUGCCCCGUCGUGGGGGAUAACACAUCGAAAGAUGUGCUAAUACCGCAUACGACCUAAGGGUGAAAGCGGGGGACCGCAAGGCCUCGCGCGAUGGGAGCGGCCGAUGUCUGAUUAGCUAGUUGGUGGGGUAAAGGCCUACCAAGGCGACGAUCAGUAGCGGGUCUGAGAGGGACGACCAGCCACACUGGGACUGAGACACGGCCCAGACUCCUACGGGAGGCAGCAGUGGGGAAUUUUGGACAAUGGGGGCAACCCUGAUCCAGCCAUGCCGCGUGCGGGAAGAAGGCCUUCGGGUUGUAAACCGCUUUUGGCAGGAACGAAACGGUGCGGGCGAAUACCCUGUGCUAAUGACGGUACCUGCAGAAUAAGCACCGGCUAACUACGUGCCAGCAGCCGCAGUAAUAC